ACACUCCUACGGGAGGCAGCAGUGGGGAAUUUUGGACAAUGGGCGAAAGCCUGAUCCAGCAAUGCCGCGUGAGUGAAGAAGGCCUUCGGGUUGUAAAGCUCUUUUGUCAGGGAAGAAACGGUGAGAGCUAAUAUCUCUUGCUAAUGACGGUACCUGAAGAAUAAGCACCGGCUAACUACGUGCCAGCAGCCGCGGUAAUACGUAGGGUGCAAGCGUUAAUCGGAAUUACUGGGUGUAAAGCGUGCGCAGGCGGUUUUGUAAGUCUGAUGUGAAAUCCCCGGGCUCAACCUGGGAAUUGCAUUGGAGACUGCAAGGCUAGAAUCUGGCAGAGGGGGGUAGAAUUCCACGUGUAGCAGUGAAAUGCGUAGAUAUGUGGAGGAACACCGAUGGCGAAGGCAGCCCCCUGGGUCAAGAUUGACGCUCAUACACGAAAGCGUGGGGAGCAAACAGGAUUAGAUACCCUUGUAGUCCCAUGAU
rnacentral:rRNA from 1 species